rnacentral:rRNA from 1 species
GACGAACGCUGGCGGCGUGCUUAACACAUGCAAGUCGAACGGAAAGGCCCUGCUUUUGUGGGGUGCUCGAGUGGCGAACGGGUGAGUAACACGUGAGUAACCUGCCCUUGACUUUGGGAUAACUUCAGGAAACUGGGGCUAAUACCGGAUAGGCGCUCCUGCUGCUUGGUGGGGGUUGGAAAGUUUCGGCGGUUGGGGAUGGACUCGCGGCUUAUCAGCUUGUUGGUGGGGUAGUGGCUUACCAAGGCUUUGACGGGUAGCCGGCCUGAGAGGGUGACCGGCCACAUUGGGACUGAGAUACGGCCCAGACUCCUACGGGAGGCAGCAGUGGGGAAUAUUGCACAAUGGGCGGAAGCCUGAUGCAGCAACGCCGCGUGCGGGAUGACGGCCUUCGGGUUGUAAACCGCUUUCGCCUGUGACGAAGCGUGAGUGACGGUAAUGGGUAAAGAAGCACCGGCUAACUACGUG